AGCCACAGUCAUAUCACCCUGCAGCCCAAGACCAGUAACUCACUGAAGCUAAGCAGGGCUGAGCCUGGUCAGUACCUGGAUGGGAAACCACAUGGGAAAGCUACUGUAAGUUGCUGUUGGAA
ensembl:rRNA 5S_rRNA 5S ribosomal RNA